rnacentral:rRNA from 1 species
UGUAUAGGGUAAAGCCAGAGGAAACUCUGGUGGAGGCUCGCAGCGGUUCUGACGUGCAAAUCGAUCGUCAAAUAUGGGCAUGGGGGCGAAAGACUAAUCGAACCUUCUAGUAGCUGGUUUCCGCCGAAGUUUCCCUCAGGAUAGCAGUGUUGAAUUCUCAGUUUUAUGAGGUAAAGCGAAUGAUUAGGGACUCGGGGGCGCUAUUAAGCCUUCAUCCAUUCUCAAACUUUAAAUAUGUAAGAAGCCCUUGUUACUUAAUUGAACGUGGGCAUUCGAAUGUAUCAACACUAGUGGGCCAUUUUUGGUAAGCAGAACUGGCGAUGCGGGAUGAACCGAUCGCG